AUUGAACGCUGGCGGCAGGCCUAACACAUGCAAGUCGAGCGGAUGAAGGGAGCUUGCUCCUGGAUUCAGCGGCGGACGGGUGAGUAAUGCCUAGGAAUCUGCCUGGUAGUGGGGGAUAACGUCCGGAAACGGGCGCUAAUACCGCAUACGUCCUGAGGGAGAAAGUGGGGGGUCUUCGGACCUCACGCUAUCAGAUGAGCCUAGGUCGGAUUAGCUAGUUGGUGGGGUAAAGGCCUACCAAGGCGACGAUCCGUAACUGGUCUGAGAGGAUGAUCAGUCACACUGGAACUGAGACACGGUCCAGACUCCUACGGGAGGCAGCAGUGGGGAAUAUUGGACAAUGGGCGAAAGCCUGAUCCAGCCAUGCCGCGUGUGUGAAGAAGGUCUUCGGAUUGUAAAGCACUUUAAGUUGGGAGGAAGGGCAGUAAGUUAAUACCUUGCUGUUUUGACGUUACCAACAGAAUAAGCACCGGCUAACUUCGUGCCAGCAGCCGCGGUAAUACGAAGGGUGCAAGCGUUAAUCGGAAUUACUGGGCGUAAAGCGCGCGUAGGUGGUUCAGCAAGUUGGAUGUGAAAUCCCCGGGCUCAACCUGGGAACUGCAUCCAAAACUACUGAGCUAGAGUACGGUAGAGGGUGAUGGAAUUUCCUGUGUAGCGGUGAAAUGCGUAGAUAUAGGAAGGAACACCAGUGGCGAAGGCGACCACCUGGACUGAUACUGACACUGAGGUGCGAAAGCGUGGGGAGCAAACAGGAUUAGAUACCCUGGUAGUCCACGCCGUAAACGAUGUCGACUAGCCGUUGGGAUCCUUGAGAUCUUAGUGGCGCAGCUAACGCGAUAAGUCGACCGCCUGGGGAGUACGGCCGCAAGGUUA
rnacentral:rRNA from 1 species